rnacentral:rRNA from 1 species
GACGUAUGGGGCUAGCGUUGUUCGGAAUUAUUGGGCGUAAAGGGCGUCUAGGCGGGGAAUUAAGUUAGGUGUGAAAGCCACGGGCUCAACUCGUGAACUGCACCUAAAACUGGUUCUCUUGAGUUCGGGAGAGGAGAGCGGAAUUCCCGGUGUAGCGGUGAAAUGCGUAGAUAUCGGGAAGAACACCAGUGGCGAAGGCGGCUCUCUGGCCUAGAACUGACGCUGAAGCGCGAAAGCUAGGGGAGCAAACAGG